UCGGACUGAAAAUGGUCUCAGGUGUAAUAGUGGUCUGAGGUCAGAUACCUGAGCCUAAAGCAAUGAGGUACGUUAAGCUUAUCGCCUGCUCACCUGUUGGCAGGGUGAUAAAACCCAUGUGCCUACAUAA
ensembl:snoRNA small nucleolar RNA ACA64